rnacentral:rRNA from 1 species
AUACGGAGGGUGCAAGCGUUAUCCGGAAUCACGGGGUUUAAAGGGUGCGUAGGCGGCCUGGUAAGUCAGAGGUGAAAUACACGAGCUUAACUGGUGAAUUGCCUUUGAAACUAUCAAGCUAGAAUUAUGUUGAGGUCAGCGGAAUGAGUCAUGUAGCGGUGAAAUGCAUAGAUAUGACUUAGAACACCAAUUGCGUAGGCAGCUGGCUAGGCAUUAAUUGGCGCUGAGGCACGAAAGCGUGGGGAGCGAACAGGAUUAGAAACCCUAGUAGUCC